rnacentral:tRNA from 1 species
UCCCGCAUGGUCUAGUGGCUAGGAUUUUUGGUUUUCACCCAGGCGGCCGGGGUUCGAUUUCCCGUGCGCGAG